UGUGAUACAGGGUUCUCACCGUUGUACAGGGGUCUCACCGUGAUACAGGGUUCUCCGAGUGUUACAGGGUUCUCACCGUGAUACAGGGUUCUCACCGUGUUACAGGGUUCUCCGAGUGUUACAGGUUUCUCACUGUGAUACAGGGUUCUCACUGUGAUACAGGGUUCUCGGAGUGUUACAGGGUUCUCACCGUGUUACAGGGUUCUCCGUGUUUAACAGGGUUCUCGGAGUGUUACAGGGUUCUCACCGUGUUACAGGGUUCUCCGUGUUUAACAGGGUUCUCGGAGUGUUACAGGGUUCUCACCGUGUUACAGGGUUCUCGGAGUGUUGCAGGGUUCUCGGAGUGUUACAGGGUUCUCACCGUGUUGCAGGGUUCUCCGUGUUUAACAGGGUUCUGCGAGUGUGUGUGAGUGUUAUCUGUGUCAUUUUGUGCGGUGUUGAUGUAUAAUCUGAGAUCUUUUUGUUUGUUGUUGGUUUGUAGGAUUUUACGGAGAUUAAACGCAGGUGCAGACAAACUUUCCCCCAAAUCCCCUCAGCGCUGCUGCUUUAGUCGAGAUCACAGCGGCGCUGCGACGCUUCUGAUCUCCGCUCAGGCGUAAACACUCGUCACACUUCAGCACCGCCACCAAGCCUUACACCUGCUGAUCGCCAGCGCUGUGCGCAGCGGUCAUGAGCACGCCCAGCCUCUCCU
ensembl:lncRNA